ensembl:snRNA U6 U6 spliceosomal RNA
AUGAUUUUUGGCAACAUACAUUCUAAAAUUUGAAUGAUAGAAGGAAAAUUAAUAUGGCCCCUGUGUAAGGAUGACAUACAAAUUCAUUAAGUGUUGUACUUAGAA